rnacentral:rRNA from 1 species
UGGGGAAUUUUGGACAAUGGGCGCAAGCCUGAUCCAGCAAUGCCGCGUGCAGGAUGAAGGCCUUCGGGUUGUAAACUGCUUUUGUACGGAACGAAAAAGCUCUCUCUAAUACAGGGGGUGAAUGACGGUACCGUAAGAAUAAGCACCGGCUAACUACGUGCCAGCAGCCGCGGUAAAACGUAGGAGGCGAGCGUUAUCCGGAUUUACUGGGCGUAAAGCGCGUGCAGGCGGAUUGGAGAGUUGGAUGUGAAAGCUCCCGGCUUAGCUGGGAGAGGUCGUUCAAUACUUCCAGUCUUGAGUGCAGUAGAGGGUAGGGGAAUUCCGGGUGUAGUGGUGAAAUGCGUAGAUAUCCGGAGGAACACCAGUGGCGAAAGCGGCUUCCUGGACUGUAACUGACGCUCAGACGCGAAAGCUAGGGUAGCAAACG